AGGGAACGCUGGCGGUAGGCCUAACACAUGCAAGUCGAACGGCAGCACAGUAAGAGCUUGCUCUUACGGGUGGCGAGUGGCGGACGGGUGAGGUAUACAUCGGAAUCUACUUUUUCGAGGGGGAUAACGUAUGGAAACUUACGCUAAUACCGCAUACGACCUACGGGUGAAAGCAGGGGAUCUUCGGACCUUGCGCGAUUGAAGGAGCCGAUUUCGGAUUAGCUAGUUGGCGCGGUAAAGGCCCACCAAGGCGACGAUCCGUAGCUGGUCUGAGAGGAUGAUCAGCCACACUGGAACUGAGGCACGGUCCAGACUCCUACGGGAGGCAGCAGUGGGGAAUAUUGGACAAUGGGCGCAAGCCUGAUCCAGCCAUACCGCGUGGGUGAAGAAGGCCUUCGGGUUGUAGAGCCCUUUUGUUGGGACAGAAAAGCAGCAGGUUAAUACCCCGCUGUUCUGACGGUACCCAAAGAAUAAGCACCGGCUAACUUCGUG
rnacentral:rRNA from 1 species